rnacentral:lncRNA from 1 species
GGUAGGUGAUUUGAUUUUUGAGCUUGUCAAACUUGUAUUUAUUUUUUGUGUUGAGUUCCGUUAUGGUACACUUUUGAGAUUCUUUUCUCAUGCAAUCUAUUAGCUAAGGAAAUGAUUUAUCUCUAGAUAAUGAAUACAACAACAACAAUAACCCAGUAUAAUUCCAUCAUUAAGGAAAUGAUUUAUCUCUAGAUAAUGAAUGAGUAAUUUUAUUUUAUUCUUCUAAUUUUCAAAUGCAUAGAAAACAAAAAUUUGACAGGAACUGCCCGAUAUGCAAGUAUGAAUACUC